rnacentral:rRNA from 1 species
UACGGAGGGUGCAAGCAUUGAUCGGAUUUACUGGGCGUAAAGGGCGCGUAGGCGGGCCGAAAAGUCUGAUGUGAAAUUCCACAGCUCAACUGUGGACUGCAUUGGAAACUUUCGGUCUUGAGGAAUGACGGAGAAAACGGAAUUCCGCAUGUAGCGGUGAAAUGCGUAGAUAUGCGGAGGAACACCGGUGGCGAAGGCGGUUUUCUAGUUAUUUCCUGACGCUGAGGCGCGAAAGCAUGGGUAGCAAACAGG